GACGAACCGAGCGAACGUUAUUCGGAAUCACUGGGCUUAAAGGGCGCGUAGGCGGGCGGCCAAGUCAGGGGGUGAAAGCCCCCAGCUCAACUGGGGAAGUGCCUUUGAUACUGGUCAUCUCGAGGGAGAUAGGGGCGUGCGGAACUUCCGGUGGAGCGGUGAAAUGCGUAGAUAUCGGAAGGAACACCGGUGGCGAAAGCGGCGCGCUGGACCUCUUCUGACGCUGAGGCGCGAAAGCCAGGGGAGCAAAGCGGGG
rnacentral:rRNA from 1 species